rnacentral:rRNA from 1 species
UACGUAGGGGGCAAGCGUUGUCCGGAAUCAUUGGGCGUAAAGCGUGCGUAGACGGUUAUUUAAGUCAGGCGUGAAAGCCCCGGGCUCAACUCGGAAACUGCGCUUGAUACUGUCGAGCUUGAGUGCAGGAGAGGAACGCGGAAUUCCAGGUGUAGCGGUGAAAUGCGUAGAUAUCUGGAGGAACACCGGUGGCGAAGGCGGCGUUCUGGACUGCAACUGACACUGAGGAACGAAAGCCAGGGGAGCAAACGGG